rnacentral:rRNA from 1 species
AUGCGGUUAUUGGAGAUGCCCAACAUGCAUAGGAUCAAUCAAGGGGCAUCGAGUGAUGAAUCGACAAAGGGCAUGGGGCAUAUGAUGUGGAUGGACGACUACUUUGUCCCUGAUGUGCUAUUUGAGUCAUUUUUCCGCCGUCGAUUCCAGAUGAGCCAAAGUGUAUCCAAUCGCCUCUACAAUGGUCUCCGGGCCUAUGAGUACCACUUCCUCUUAAAGAAGAGCAGCCGAGAUAUGGAGGAGGCAUCCGAUGACGAGCCGACGUCCCUGCCCACGCAGGCGCACUUCAACGUCGUCAUGGCGGAAGAGCAUCCGAAUGCAAACGUGGGACCCUUCCAACGGAGUCCAUGCGACAGACUCCGGUGA